UAAAGUUUACAAUUUUAUGAAAUACUUGUUCAUUUAAGCACUGACAUUACACCAAUCAUGGCUUGCACACGUACCCUGAAAGUGUUGGCUGUAUUCCUGAUAGUGUGUGUUCUGACUGAAUAUGUUUUUGCUGCCGCCUUACCUGUUGAAAACGAGCAAAGUAGAAUUCGGCGACAUCUUCCACAGGGUCAACGAGGAGCAGUUGCCCGAGAGAUGAGAUGAAUAAUAUUGUAUGGUACCAAAGCUGAUCACUUGUUAUUGGUUGAUUAAUCAAUGUGAUCGGCUGAAAGAAAGAAGAACACUGCGCAUGCUCAACAAUCGUUCAUCUUGUUUCAUUACUUGGGUUUCCUCCUAAUUCUUAAUUAUACUUAUUAACUAUUUAAUUCAUUAUUUAUGAUUGAUAAUGAUAAAUAUUUUUAUUAAAUUAAUGGUAUUAAUCUAUUGUAUUAAUCAAUUACACAAUUCAUAAUAAAUUAUAUUCUGCAUAAUAAUAUUAUACGCUCUAGAAAAUACAAAUAUCAGCGAUUUCUAAACUAUUCUGAUGCUGAAUGCAUAAAAUAGUACAAUAGUUGAUUUACAAUAGACGGGUUUCUAUCUAAUAAAGACUAAUUACACGCAAUUACUUA